rnacentral:rRNA from 1 species
UACGUAGGGUGCGAGCGUUAAUCGGAAUUACUGGGCGUAAAGCGUGCGCAGGCGGUUGUGCAAGCCAGAUGUGAAAUCCCCGGGCUUAACCUGGGAACUGCAUUUGUGACUGCACGGCUAGAGUGUGUCAGAGGGGGGUAGAAUUCCACGUGUAGCAGUGAAAUGCGUAGAGAUGUGGAGGAAUACCGAUGGCGAAGGCAAUCCCCUGGACCUGUACUGACGCUCAUGCACGAAAGCGUGGGGAGCAAACAGG